rnacentral:rRNA from 1 species
GACGAACGCUGGCGGCGUGCUUAACACAUGCAAGUCGAACGAUGAAGCGGUGCUUGCACCGUGGAUUAGUGGCGAACGGGUGAGUAAUACGUGAGUGACCUACCUUUGACUCUGGGAUAAGCCUGGGAAACUGGGUCUAAUACCGGAUACGACCAAUCUCUGCAUGGGGUGUUGGUGGAAAGCGUUAUGGAGUGGUUUUAGAUGGGCUCACGGCCUAUCAGCUUGUUGGUGAGGUAAUGGCUUACCAAGGCGACGACGGGUAGCCGGCCUGAGAGGGUGACCGGCCACACUGGGACUGAGACACGGCCCAGACUCCUACGGGAGGCAGCAGUGGGGAAUAUUGCACAAUGGGCGCAAGCCUGAUGCAGCGACGCCGCGUGAGGGAUGACGGCCUUCGGGUUGUAAACCUCUGUUAGCAUCGAAGAAGCGAAAGUGACGGUAGGUGCAGAGAAAGCGACGGCUAACUACGUG